CACAGAGUAGAUAUACUACACAGAGGUGGAACUCAGCCAAAAAAGUGUAACCGGCCGCCAAAAGCUUAGCCAGUGCGCGAAAGAGAGGCAUUCACCCCCCCGAACUCAAAUUUCAAGAUGGCGCCCGAAUGUUUCAGAAAAUAAUCGGCACGAGAAACACUUGUUAUUUUGCUCAUAACAGUUUUCCUUUACUAAAGUUGUUAUUAACAUGUUUAUAUAAUUCGUCCUUGAAAGAUGUGUUGGUAUGAAAAACCUUUGAAGAUUAUCUACCGAUUUAUAUGGCACUAUUAUUCAUCGUAGGAGUGGAAAAUUGAAAUUCCGAAAUUACCGAGAAAUUAAUACUCAUGUGAGCCAUGUCUAAAGGAUUUAGAAGAAAUGUAAAUGGUAUAAUAACUUAUGUGCAGCUGGAUAUCGUUGUAUUUAAUAUUUUGUGAAAUACUUAGGCAGAAAUCAGUCAAGAUUUCACUAUCUGAAAUUGAAACCGCUAUUGUAGUAUAUGGCACCCUGUUUAUAAUAGUGAUAAAAAUCAUAAAACGUGAGGGAUGUUGGUUUUUUACAUUUCAAACACACUAUAUUUAAAAAAAUAUGAUGUACAUAGUUCAUAUUUAACAUCAUUCAGGUUUGCUAUUCUUUAAAUGAAUUUUGAUUAGAGUUUCUGAAUGAGAUGCCGAAACAAUGUGAAAGUUGGG